rnacentral:rRNA from 1 species
GACGAACGCUGGCGGCGUGCUUAACACAUGCAAGUCGAACGCUGAAGCUCAGCUUUUGUUGGGUGGAUGAGUGGCGAACGGGUGAGUAACACGUGAGUAACCUGCCCCCUUCUUUGGGAUAACGCCCGGAAACGGGUGCUAAUACUGGAUAUUCACUGGUCUUCGCAUGGGGGUUGGUGGAAAGGGUUUUUCUGGUGGGGGAUGGGCUCGCGGCCUAUCAGCUUGUUGGUGGGGUGAUGGCCUACCAAGGCUUUGACGGGUAGCCGGCCUGAGAGGGUGACCGGUCACAUUGGGACUGAGAUACGGCUCAGACUCCUACGGGAGGCAGCAGUGGGGAAUAUUGCACAAUGGGCGCAAGCCUGAUGCAGCGACGCCGCGGGAGGGAUGGAGGCCUUCGGGUUGUGAACCUCUUUCGCUCAUGGUCAAGCCGCAACAAUGGUUGUGGUGAGGGUAGUGGGUAAAGAAGCGCCGGCUAACUACGUG